rnacentral:rRNA from 1 species
AAUAAAGCAAAACAGGAGAAAAAUAAGAGUGAAAAUCAGAUUGUGGCAAAGGAAUUUGAGCAACAAAUGAAGCCUAAUAAUAAACCAUCUAGUGUUGUUUCUGAAAUUAAAUUGAAAAGUGCAUGUUUACUUGCCACAAAAUCUGAUAUUGAUGAACUAGAUUUCAGCAAAUCUGUUUGCUAUGCUUUUGUGUGCAAAGAGGCAUUAUUUUCAUUCGAGGACGUGCCUUCCUCUUUGCCCCCUGCUGUCACUCACAUUUUGCAGGAGUUCGCUGACGUCUUCCCACAAGAUGUGCCACCGGGAUUACCACCUAUUCGAGGGAUUGAGCAUCAAAUUGACUUAAUUCCCGGUGCAUCGCUACCCAACCGUGCACCAUACCGUACCAAUCCAGAGGAGACGAAGGAGAUUAUGCGUCAAGUACAGGAGCUGCUCGACAAAGGUUAUAUACGC